rnacentral:rRNA from 1 species
CCUACGGGUGGCAGCAGUGGGGGAUAUUGCACAAUGGGGGAAACCCUGAUGCAGCGACGCCGCGUGUGGGAAGACGGUCCUCUGGAUUGUAAACCACUGUCCCCAGGGACGAAGAUGACGGUACCUGGGGAGGAAGCUCCGGCUAACUACGUGCCAGCAGCCGCGGUAAUACGUAGGGAGCGAGCGUUGUCCGGAAUUACUGGGUGUAAAGGGGGCGUAGGCGGGACUGCAAGUUGGGUGUCAAAUCUACCGGCUCAACCGGUAGCCGCACUCAAAACUGCAGUUCUUGAGGGAAGUAGAGGCAGGUGGAAUUCCUAGUGUAGCGGUGAAAUGCGUAGAUAUUAGGAGGAACACCAGUGGCGAAGGCGGCCUGCUGGGCUUUUACUGACGCUGAGGCUCGAAAGUGUGGGGAGCAAACAGGAUUAGAUACCCCAGUAGUC